UGGCAGUCCCAGUGUAGUGGUGUUUACAACUAAUUGAUCACAACCAGUUACAGAUGGCUUGGUUCUUUCUCCACUCCCACUGCUUCCCUUGACUAGUAAAAA
ensembl:misc_RNA Y_RNA Y RNA